AAUUACAAAUUUUUGAAAAUUCAUACCGUUGUUUAAUUAUUAUUGUUAAUGAUGAUUGUGAUCGCGAAGUUGUUUAGUUCAUUCGCAUUUAACGGCAUUGGACGAUGAAGAUUGAAGAGAUACACGUGUACUUGCUUUCCUGGUUGUAAUGCUGUAGUAUUACGAGUUAUCUUCUCUUAUGAAUACUCUCGUCUCGGAUAUUCAGAGGAAAGAAUACACCUACUGUUCACCAAUAUCCAUGAAUGAGUCUCGGCUUUCAGCUUUUUCUCAUGCCUUCUGAUUAGCUAGCUUCCAGUUUUUGGCCAAAAGUAA